UCAAAUUUCCUUUCCAUUCUUUUAUUUUCCCUUCUCUAAAUCCUCCUCCUUUCGUUAUCUUCAUUUUCCUUCCUCAUCUGAUCCUCUGACUCGCAUCAAGAGGAGGAGAGGAGGAAGAGGAGGAGGAGAGGGAGAGAAAGAGAGAGACUUUCGGCGCCUUCUUCCGCAGCGGCGCCGUACGCUUUAUGAUGCUGCGGUCGGUAUUCUGAGACGCCUCCGCCCCUCCAAUCAACUAUUUCCAAACCCUGAAAAGGAGAUUAGUCGGGCUAUAAUGAGUGUUUCUUUACGCUCAUUGUACAGAGGUAGGGUUAGACUACCACCAGGGUCAUAAAUGGCCACAACUCCUACGAAAGCCUUGUCAAUUAUGUGUGAUUGGGCAUGACCCUCAAAAUGACCCUCAGACGCCUCCACCUCAACUAUUUCCAAAGGUCAAAAAGAAGAUCAGUCGGGUUCUGAUGAGUGUUUCUUUACGCUCAUUAUACAGAAAUAGGGUCAGACUACCACCAGGGUCAGAAAAGUACCCCUGGAAAUGCCCGCAACUCCUACGAAAGCCUUGUCAAAUUGGGCACUCAAAUGCUUCAUAAUACGACCCACAGUGAGAGGCUCUUGACGCGGGGUUGCGAGCGCCUUCUUGGACGCUUUGUCAGUGACUGAUGGUUGUUAUGAGGGGUGGCCCAGCGAUGCCAGGGUGUUGGGGGGCUGCUGGGGGGGGAAUGUGGCUCUCGCUGUGGCCUGGUGUGGCAUGGGCGGCGGGCGGGCGGGCGGCGGUGUGGUGUGGAUCGAUGCAGUGUACGAGGCUGGCGGGUUGCUGGUAAGGGCGAGGGGUGCGCCGUGUGGCCGAGGUGCAGUGCCAGGCCUCAGUACAGCUCUCCCGCCCGACGCAGAGCCAUGGUGGUUGUGUGAGUGCCAGCAGGAGGGUGCCACAAAGCAGGGCACCGCACCGCCGCCACCAGGUGGAGAUGACAGCCACACUACUUCACAAUCUCAUUUCCAGUCCAAGCGCCUUGUAACGUCAACCCAAGAAAGAGGAAGAAAGCCUAAUGUACCCUCAUAUA